UUUUUCUUUUUCUUUUUCUUUUGGUGCGACGCAGUCAUGACCCAAAGGCUAAACCCUUUUCCGCCUCCUCUACCACCCUUUCUCCCGCAUAUUCUUCUCUCCCAGAUCUUCAUUGUUGAAACUCCAAAACCUCUGUCUCUCCUUAAAGAUAUCAGUAUUAAGGUUUCCCUUCAAAGUCUCCUCUCACCAUACCAUCCCAAUCUCUCCAUUUUCUUUGAAAACUCAAGCUAUGCGAAUUUGGUAUUCUGAGGCAAAACCCUAGGUUCCAGCGGCGUGACGAAGAAUAGCACAAUUUGGGGAGGUUAUUCUAUCUCCUCUUCUCGCUCUUCCUUUCGUUUGUUCGAUUUUCUAAUUUCUCGAGGCUAAAGUUCGACGAUUCUUUGAAAAAUCAAAGAAAAAAACCAGCAUCUAAGAACAUUGAUGAGGAUGAUGAUGCAGCAAAAGCGCAGUAAAGGCUUGCAAUGAAAAAAAAAUUGAUGAAGAAGUAAAAGUUUCGUCACUUAAGAUCUGGCAACAAUGAAAUUUUGCAGCCUCCCAAGCAAAUUCGUUGGUCCAUUGCCUGAAGAAAUUGUGUCCUUGUCUAGCUGCAGAGACUGUAUGUUGAUGACACUUACAAGGCAUGCGAGAGAUUUGAACAGUUAGGUGUGGAGUUUGUAAAGAAGCUUGAUGAUGGUGAGUCUUUUAUUUUCUAAAUCAGCUCAUAUUUCUUUCUAAUACCAAGUUUGUUUAUGUUAGUUCGUGAUAUUUUUUGAUUUUUUGAACUUUUAAUUGAGGAUUUUGAUUUUUGAUGCCAGUUCUUUGUUCUUAAUUCCUUUGGAUCUUGUGUCUCCAGCAAUUUUUCCACACAAAAUUUCCGCACUUCCUUCUGAAAAUCUUCGUUUUUUCAGACUGUUGAAGAGGAAAACCCAUGUAAGCAAAGUCUCUCAUUUUUCUGGGUUUUAUUUAUUAUUGACUUUUUCUGAAAAUAGGGAUUUUAUCGUGUUGUUCUUUUGUUUGUAAUAUGAGAAUGAUGUGACUAUGAUAGUAUGGAUUAAAGAAUAUAUGGUUGUCAGGUUGUGAGUUUUAUAGGAUAUAUUUUCAGAUGCUUAAAAAAGUUUGUUUAAGAACCUAUUCGGCCUGAAUCUAAAUUUCUGUAUACCUAUUAGUCUAUUACUUAGUAUGAGGUACUCUGCUAGUUUUACCAUGUACAUUUGGCAUUCCAACUUGGGUUUAUUACUUACCUAGCUACUUGCAUAUGUUGUUGAUCAGGAAAAAGUGACAUAGUCAAAUGGUUCCUAUAAUGCUAAUGCUAAGAUGCAACUCUGUCUUAGUGACUAAACUCCAAAGUCAUUAUUGCAGAUGCUUUCAACCUUUCACUGCUUGACUGUUAGUAUUUCAUAUUUGUGAAAUGUGAUUGUUCUGCUAUUUUUGUUUGUUUUCUUUGGGCUGAUUACAUUAUGAGCAAUGUCGAUAUUUAGCUAGUUUAUUGUAAUAUUUACUUAAACUUUUAUGUUUAAAGUGUAGUUAGGUUAUCAACAUGUUGGUUGAUCUAUGGUGAAUUUGCCUUUUAUUGGGUUGUAAACUGUUUUGACAGGUAUAUAUUAAUGUAUUAUAACAUUCCCGGUAUUGGGGAGGGUCAAAUUACAAAGGAAA